UUAACCUGGUUGAUCCUGCCAGUAGUAAUACGCUCGUCUUGUAGAUUAAGCCAUGUAAGUCUAAGUGUAGUACCAUACAGCAAUACUGCGAACGGCUCAUUACAACAGUUAUAGUUUAUUUGAUGGAUACCUAUAUGGAUAACUCCAGCAAACCAGAGCUAAUACAUGCAGAAAAGCCCGACUUCGGAAGGGCU
rnacentral:rRNA from 1 species